rnacentral:rRNA from 1 species
UACGGAGGGGGCAAGCGUUGUUCGGAAUUACUGGGCGUAAAGGGCUCGUAGGCGGCCAACUAAGUCAUACGUGAAAUCCCUCGGCUUAACCGGGGAACUGCGUCUGAUACUGGAUGGCUUGAGUUCGGGAGAGGGAUGCGGAAUUCCAGGUGUAGCGGUGAAAUGCGUAGAUAUCAGUCGGAACACCGGUGGCGAAGGCGGCUUCUUGGGCCGUUACUGACGCUGAGGCGCGAAAGCCAGGGGAGCGAACGGG